rnacentral:rRNA from 1 species
UACGAAGGGGGGCUAGCGUUGCUCGGAAUUACUGGGCGUAAAGGGAGCGUAGGCGGACAUUUAAGUCAGGGGUGAAAUCCCAGAGCUCAACUCUGGAACUGCCUUUGAUACUGGGUGUCUUGAGUGUGAGAGAGGUAUGUGGAACUCCGAGUGUAGAGGUGAAAUUCGUAGAUAUUCGGAAGAACACCAGUGGCGAAGGCGACAUACUGGCUCAUUACUGACGCUGAGGCUCGAAAGCGUGGGGAGCAAACAGG